UACGGAGGGUGCGAGCGUUGUCCGGAAUCACUGGGCGUAAAGGGCGCGUAGGUGGCCCGUUAAGUGGCUGGUGAAAUCCCGCGGCUCAACUGCGGGGCUGCCGGUCAGACUGGCAAGCUAGAGCACGGUAGGGGCAGAUGGAAUUCCCGGUGUAGCGGUGGAAUGCGUAGAGAUCGGGAAGAAUACCAGUGGCGAAGGCGUUCUGCUGGGCCGUUGCUGACGCUGAUGCGCGACAGCGUGGGGAGCAAACAGG
rnacentral:rRNA from 1 species